rnacentral:lncRNA from 1 species
GGGACACUGACCGCGGUGUCAGGUCACUUCUCUGCCGGCCUAGGCAGGAAGGGAACCCAGCAGGCAGAGCCAGCAUGGGAUGGCGGGGCUGGACGUCUCAGGCACGAUCAGGCCCACGGGAAAGUCGGAGGUCAGGGCGCCAGGGCCUCUGGUUGGGGGCUUCAGAGGCGUUGCAGUCGACUCCUGGAGCAGAGGAUUCAAGUCUGCAAAAUAGAGGGGAGACCCCUAGGAGCUUGGGGACUGCGGAGGCCCCUAGGCCCAGGUUGAGACUGUGCUGCACUGCUGCUUUGUAAACCUGGAAGAUUUUUAUCGUGAAUAAAUACCUGCCGCAACAAUGCCU